rnacentral:tRNA from 1 species
GGACCCAUGGUGUAAUGGUUAGCACUCUGGACUUUGAAUCCAGCAAUCCAAGUUCAAAUCUUGGUGGGACCU